rnacentral:rRNA from 1 species
CCUACGGGAGGCAGCAGUGAGGAAUAUUGGUCAAUGGACGAGAGUCUGAACCAGCCAAUUAGCGUGAAGGAUGACUGCCCUAUGGGUUGUAAACUUCUUUUAUAUGGGAAUAAAAUGUUCCACGUGUGGGAUUUUGUAUGUACCAUAUGAAUAAGGAUCGGCUAACUCCGUGCCAGCAGCCGCGGUAAUACGGAGGAUCAGCGCGUUAUCCGGAUUUAUUGGGUUUAAAGGGAGCGUAGGUGGAUUGUUAAGUCAGUUGUGAAAGUUUGCGUCUCAACCGUAAAAUUGCAGUUGAAACUGGCAGUCUUGAGUACAGUAGAGGUGGGCGGAAUUCGUGGUGUAGCGGUGAAAUGCUUAGAUAUCACGAAGAACUCCGAUUGCGAAGGCAGUUCACUGGACUGCAACUGACACUGAGGCUCGAAAGUGUGGGUAUCAAACAGGAUUAGAUACCCCUGUAGUC